AGGAGGGCAGAGGACGGCUGCCCCCGCAGGAGCGUUUCCUCCGGGCGGUCCCCGCCCCCAGGCCCCUCAUCCUGGCGGCCUCGAGCCUGGGCUCACGUAGGCCCUUCGCUAGCAGCGGCCAGACUUCACCCUUGGGGCUUUGGGACGGCGCUUUCGGGUGGAGGGAGGAGGGAGGCCCUCGGAAGGGGCUCUCAGGGGCCCAAGGGGAGCGCCUCGUGUAGUAGUCGCCCUGCUGGCGGGGUCCCUGGGUUCUAGCAGUGCCUGACACACAUCAGGUUCCUAGGAAAUACUGCUGAAAAGACAUGAAAACCAGGCCUGGAGCUCUGUAUCUGAUGACCACUAGAGAGAGCUGAAAGGCAGGAAUCAAGGGCCUUUGAAGAACAGCCUCCUCAACCUCCUGGGUGGAAAUAUUGACCUGUCAUGAAAACUAAGAGAUGGAGGAAUUGGUCUUUCACUAUGUCAAUAGCCACUGGCCCUCCCUGCACCACGCCAGCUCACUGUCCUUAGUCCUCCUCUGCCUGCUGAGAUGAAAGGAGUUUCUUCACAUUUGACAGGGGCCAUCCCAGUGCCUAUCCAGAGAAUCUUGGCCUGCACUGUCUUGACUUGGGAGUUCCCUCAACUUAAAG